CGGGGUGUAGCUCAGUUGGUAGAGCAUCUGGUUUGGGACCAGAGGGUCGCACGUUCGAGUCGUGUCACCCCGACCA
rnacentral:tRNA from 1 species